GCCACCUCUUUUUCUAAAAUACUACAUAGUUACUGUAUUUCACCACGUAAUAGUUGCCACUGCAUAAUCAUCACAUUCCCUUUUUGGCUCCCCCUCCCUUUUCUCAUGCCAUUAUCUCAGGUAGUUUUAAACAAAACAAAAACAAACACUGAGCCCUUUCUCCCUCCUCUCCUCUUCCCUGAAAGACAGUUUAAACGUGGACCCUUUCCUCCCUCAUCUUUGUCUCAGAGAUCACUAACAACGCUAAGAAAAUGAGACCCCCAAGAGUCUUCAUCAUCAUAAGUUGAAGUUGAGUUCUUGAAAAUUUUCUUUCAGGUCAUGAUGCUGCCUACAAGGAACAAAAUAUCCCAGUAUGCUUCUGCCAUCCCUACUUUAUACAUUAAUACAAUUUGGAUGACAGAGAACACAACCUGCUCUUGUAGCUAUCAGUUAUGUUUGCUUUCACCUUCAGGAACUGUUUCCGUAUUGACUUGUCAGUUGAUGAAACACCAACAUAAAUAGUAGAGAAACCCUGUGCAGCAUGCUUGACAGAACUCACAUUGAACACUGGCAAAGCUUAUUUAGCUUGUUUAUAGCUGUGAAGAAAUGUUAUUUUGUUAGGAAGGGGAGAUAACAGAAAAUAAAUGUGUUUUCUGAGAUUGAAUCUUCAUAUUUCUAGAUGUAAAGGUAACCCUAUUCGAGUUUAUAAUACUGUCAUAGGCAAAACAGAUUGUCUGAUAUGCAACGUUGGGAAACAUAACAUUGGAGACAUAGCUAUGAUGUCUUCAGAUGUUUUCAAAAAUCUUAUUGUUUUAACCUCAUGGCCCCUCUCUACAGAGUUUCCACUUUUUAAAUAGUGGAGAGCAGAGUGGUUUUUUGUGUGUGUGUGUCAGGAUCAAUUUGAGAAACUGCAAGUCGCUUCUGGUGUGAGAGAAUUGGCCGUCUGCAAGGACAUUGCCUAGGGGACGCCUGGACAUUUGAUGUUUUACCAUUCUUGUGGGAGACUUCUCUCAUGUCCCCGCAUGGGGAGCUAGUGCUGACAAACGAGAGUUCACCAGGACUCCCCGGAUUUGAACCGUCGACCUUUCAGUCAGCAGUCUUGCCAGCACAAGGGUUUAACCCAUUGCGCCACUGGGGGCUCCAAGUGGAGUGGUGAGAAAUGAUGGAUCCGACUCUCUCUGAGUCAUGAAACUAUGAUACAGGCAGCUUCAGAGGCCCUGUAACAAUUGGGCUGACCACACAUGUAAAUUCCAAUUGUUGCAGUGUUAUAACUCUAGAUUAUGACUAUAAAUACUGAACAGAACACUGGUCCUAAUUUAUGUUUCCCUGGUGAAUUUCUGAUAAACAUCCACAAUUUCAGUUGGAAGACAAUUUAAAUUCAUUUUCACAUAUACUGUAUACAUAUACAUGGCUCCUCCAAACAGGGCAAAUGUGUCAAGAAAUUGUAUUAACUGGCAUAUUUCUUGCUUUUAAAAAUAAUCUAAAUGAUA